CAAAGAUGGCGGACGCGUUCACGUGUCUGGGGCAGUUGAAUGAGGAAACUAGUUUUACAUACUUCUAUGUUUAAAGUUCCGUGAAUUUGAGACUUUUUUUACAGUCUAUGUUUGAGACUGUAUUCGCCAACUCUGAUUUGAGCAAGUCGCGUGAGUGUGAUAGAGUAGGGUCUGUCAAGUCAAGUCAUAGGAUUAUCAAGUGUUUUCCAAGAGAUUGAAGAUGUUACUCUUCGUUGUAAUGAUCGGCAUUGUUGCUGUUGCUUUUGCUACAGCUGCUGGUGUUGAUGAUGAUAAAGAUGAGAUUGAGUCGCUCAGGGUUUCUGAAGGAGGAAACCUCACCAUCUCUAUUCACAUCAAUAACUCGGACGAAGAUCCUCAGGUUUUGGUUUCUCGUCUCAAAGGCAUCUCACAGGAAGCGAUAGCACAGCUGAUCUGCCAUAAUCGAGUCUGUGAGAGCGAAUACUGGAUAUCCUGGAGUUUCUCUGAGCUCUGAUGGAGAGAAUGUAACGCUCGAUCCUGAUGAACGUCAGAUACAAUCAAACGGGACGUUACUUGGUCCAAAAACUGAGCAGUGCACAGCUGGAACACAAGAUUUACAACAUUACAGUGUAUCAGCCUCAACUCAACUUGUCUCAUACACACACUCGACUCAGUACCGUCAGCCCUGAGCUGCUGACGUCUGUCACACACAGGAAAGUCAUUCACUGCAGGUGUAACCUCAGCUGCUGUGUGCUUCGUGCUGCUCAUCACUGCUGCUGUCAUCGGUGUCGUUUAUUUGAAACGCAGGAAG